rnacentral:rRNA from 1 species
CGCCUCUUGACAAACAUAAGAGGUCCCGCCUGCCCACUGACAGGAUUUAACGGCCGCGGUACUCUGACCGUGCAAAGGUAGCACAAUCACUUGUUCUCUAAAUAGGGACUAGAAUCAACGGCAUCACGAGGGUCUUACUGUCUCCCUUUUCUAAUCAGUGAAACUGAUCUUCCCGUGAAGAAGCGGGAAUAACUUUAUAAGACGAGAAGACCCCAUGGAGCUUCAAACUCAAUAGUUACCCCAUGCAAACUACACGAUAACUUAGGGAAAUAACUAUUAAUUUUAGGUUGGGGUGACCACGGAGAAUAGCCUAACCUCCGCAAUGAAAAGAAUAAUAUCCUUAUCUAUGAGACACAUCUCUAAGAAUUAACAAAUUAACAUAAAAUGAUCCGAUCUAUUUACCGUUCGAUCAAUGAACCAAGUUACCCUGGGGAUAACAGCGCCAUCCACUUUGAGAGUUCAUAUCGACAAGUGGGUUUACGACCUCGAUGUUGGAUCAGGGUAUCCCGGUGGUGCAGCCGCUACUAAAGGUUCGUUUGUUCAACGAUUAAAAC